UACGUGUGCUGGACUCUGAUGCAUUGCUGUUCAGUGAGGAUUGAAGGGUAAAUUGAAGUUUAGCAAGUUCCAGCUCAUGUCUCCUUUGUGCCUCCCUUUCGGCUAGCCUCUCUGCAGAUUCCCUUUCUGCAGCAUGCCUUUGCGCUUCCCUUUCGGCUAGCCUCUCUGCAGAUUCCCUUUCUGCAGCCUGCUGUUGGAUCAUCACAUGCAGGGCCUCCUGAGGAUUUGCAGCCAUCAGUUGCCGAAAUAAAUCAGUUGAGCAAAUGUCCU